AGUGAACGCUGGCGGUAGGCCUAACACAUGCCAGUCGAACGGCAGCACAGUAAAAGCUUGCUCUUACGGGAGGCGAGUGGCGGACGGGUGAGGUAUACAGCGGACUGUACUUUUUCGGGGGGGAUCACGUGGGGAAACUUACGAUAAUACCGCAUACUACCUACGGGUGAAAGCAGGGGAUCUUCGGACCUUGCGCGCUGGAAUGCGCCGAUGUGGGAUUAGCUAGUUGGUGGGGUAACGGCCCACCAAGGCGACGAUCCGUAGCUGGUCUGAGAGGAUGAUCAGCCACACUGGAACUGAGACACGGUCCAGACUCCUACGGGAGGCAGCAGUGGGGAAUAUUGGACAAUGGGCGCAAGCCUGAUGCAGCCAUGCCGCGUGGAUGAAGAAGGCCUUCGGGUUGUAAAGUCCUUUCGUCGGGGAGGAAGGGAGGCAAGUUAAUACCCCGCCUCAUUGACGGUACCCGAAGAAUAAGCACCGGCUAACUCCGUG
rnacentral:rRNA from 1 species